UACGGAGGGUGCGAGCGUUGUCCGGAAUCACUGGGCGUAAAGGGCGCGUAGGCGGCCUUGCAAGUCAAAGGUGAAAUCCCUCGGCUCAACUGAGGAACUGCCUUUGAAACUGCAUGGCUUGAGGCCGGGAGGGGGUAGCGGAAUUCCCAGUGUAGCGGUGAAAUGCGUAGAUAUUGGGAGGAACACCAGUGGCGAAGGCGGCUACCUGGACCGGUUCUGACGCUGAUGCGCGAAAGCGUGGGUAGCAAACAGG
rnacentral:rRNA from 1 species